rnacentral:pre_miRNA from 3 species
UCUUAUGGAUGAGCCAAAAAAGUGGUUUCAUGAGAUAGAAUCUACUCUUGGUAAAGAUGCUAUGAA